CAUCCUGGAUCCACCCCUUCCCAGACCUCAUUUUAGGGUUGGCAGUGGAGGCAAGAGCAGCUUGCUGGAGAUUCCUCUGUACUUGAGGCCUUCUAAGGGAAUUGUUCACCACUUUUCAGACAAAAGGAACUACUUAUCCUCCACUUGCUGGGAGAUAUGUCCUCAACUCCAGGAGAACAGGAGGCUGUGGAUUUGACAGGAAGGUGGCUGAUUAGUUCUAAAGGGGAAGCUACCACCUGUGUAUAGACUUCCUUGUACUCGAACCAUACGGGGAUGCAUCUGAAGCCCUGGGCUGCUGGCUGGUGAAGGAAAUUCUUCAGCGCAGAUCCAAGGGCCUUUGCCUCUUGAGCUGAAGGAUGUGAAUCCUCCUACAUCAGCACUGCUUGUGUAGAUGGCACCAGCAAUAUUAUGGUAGAGAUUAAGGAAGAGUAUGACUUUAAAAAUGUUCCAGAACAUGUACAAGUGCAUGAGCUUUGUGUAUGUAGGUCACAUUUGGACUGUCUAUAUGAAAUAUGGGUGCAUAUGUGUGUGCAUGUGUAAAAAUACAUUGUGUAUAAAACAUCAGACUGACAACUGAAGUUUGUUUUUAAGUAACAGUUUUUCUGACACUGGUGAUGUAGUAAGCCUGGCUAUCUGCUGAAGCUGAAGAGUUAAAACUGCUGCAUGCUGCGCGGAAAGGAUUUUUAUCUCAUUGUAUUAAUCUUAAAUUAUUUUUAAUAACUUUAUUAGAUUUAUGUAGGUAUCUGCUUUGUUUGCUAGAUUGCAUUAUCCAUGAUGAGAACUAGAUUUCUCUUAGACAUGGGGAUACACACGUUGCUAUAGCUACCCUGGUUCUGGCUAUUUAUUCUGUAAAGCAGGAGUUCCGAACAGCCUUCCUGUUCUAGUGUCUGAAACGUUUUGUCCGCGGUCUUUGUAUUCACGUGGAUCUUGCAUUAAAGUAAAUUAGACAGCA